ensembl:lncRNA
UGUUUGUUUUGUGCUCAAGCACCUGUUAGCAUCCUAGACUUAACAGCAGAGGAUCCAGUAACUUCAUUCCCCACAGCUGAUGGAUAUAUAGAAAGCUGCCCCACCCCUACUGGAAGUUUGGUUUAAAUAGUAGCAGCUAUUCUAAAUGGAAGUGUGACUUAGGUGUGUUUUCUGGGGGUGCUAAUGAAGCUGUUGAGAGGAGUUUGUUCUCCAGGAAAAGGUGAAAGGAUGCACAAAUAUGGAAAAGUGGACAGAAGAUUAAAUCCUCCUUAUAACCGUUUUCUCCAUGUUGUAUCAUCCAUUCUACAACUUGUGGGAUAUGAAGCCCAAACCUGCGUUUGCUAGUAGUCUAAGGAUUAUUUCAUUGUACUCAUCCAUUACUUUAUCUUCUG